rnacentral:lncRNA from 1 species
CGACGUCGUCAGUCGGACGAACCUGAAUAUGGAUAAUGUGAUGAAUGCCAAGACAAAGGAUGGUCAUCAAGUGGACAUCGUCUAACAAACACUAACUUAGUGUUACCCAGGCAAGCCCCGGUGCAUUUGCCCCUUCCUUGUGUUUUAAAUGCUUUUUCACCUUAUCUGAUGCAUUAGGUGAUAGGAGUUGUGUGAUAAACAAUUGAUGCAUUACCAUUCCUUGGAAACUCCUUAAUCCUGGUUUUAUAAAAAGAACUGAUAAUGCUUAGCCCUGCUUAGAAACUGAAAAAUCAUUUGUUUUCAAAAAGAAUGAUUGUGGAACAUUGGUUAUGGGCCUUUCGUUUCAAAAAUCAAAGCAAACUUAUGGUGAUGAUUCCACUUCGACCGGAGUGGGUUCAUCAUUUGGAAAAGAGUACCCCUGUCGGGUACCAAAAAUGGGAAAAUGGUUUGAAUACAUCUAGACCAGACGCUGAGCUGACGUGGUCGCCCGUCUGUGUCGAUUAAGGACCGUUCGAUGUAGGCCUGUUGUGGUGGAAACCUUGCAACUAGCCACAUGCUCCGGUAAGCCUGAACCUGGCUAUUCCAUACGUGAAAAGACAACCGCGCACUGGGCGUGGGAGAUGGUGGGAGUAGCGUGUACCCUCCUGGCUAGAGGCUGGAUGGAGGAGUACUGUGCUCCCGGGUAGCGCGGACCGGUUCACGUUGUGGAGGAUCUAUGGGAACGGUUGACAUAUGCAAGGAUUAAGUGCUACAUAUGUCGUGUGGUUAGGGAUCCCCAGCUGGGUAUAAUCGGUUCGAAUCGUCGUUGCUCCUCGGUCAUGGAGACUCUACCCUCCGACCACUCAUCGUAGUUGACAAGUGAAAUAUGAAUUGGCUAAAAGAAAGCUAGACCAGGACAAGUGGAUGCUCUAGAUUAGGCAAAUCUAGAUUCAGGAAAAAAUACUAAACUUGUGAAGUAAAAUUUUGGCAUAAGGAUUUACUACUAGUAAGCUCUUCUGCAAAACAGAGUCUUUGAUUCUUGAUAAGCCAUACCUUGAAUCCCUCUAGCCAGCAUACCCUUGAGAGUCUUUUCUUUAGUCGGGUAAGUCUUGCUGAGUAAUUCCAUACUCAGGGUUUUAUUCCCUGUUGUUUUUCAGGUUAUAGUUUUGUGCUGCUGUUGAUGGUGUUAAGUGCCGGUGGGCUCGACCUUCUUAUAAGUCUAAGUAAUUCUUCUAUACUUCUUAUUGAGGAUGGUCACAUGAGCUAGCAUAUAUUUCAAACUUACAAAUAAUUUAUAAUAUCUCAAAGUUAUUCCUUUGAACCACUUUUGUAAUCACUCCGAUAAAUACAAUGUAAACUUGUUGUAACUUGUAAAAUUUGGUAAUAAGAUUUUCUGCUGCAAAAUGUUGGUGUGUGAUUUGUGUUUACUUAAUCUUGCGAUCCUGGUUGUAAGUGGUUUAUUCGGGGUCCUUGGGACACUCGGACGGAUCCUGUUAAGUUAUCUGGUGCACAUGCAUAGCUGUCUGAGGUCUUUGAGACAAGGACAGGUGCAUGUGGGCCCAAUAACUUGGGAGGUUCUGCCACACCUUUGGCACUGGACUAGGUUGUGUCUUGAUGCAAGACAACUGAGUCAUUGCUUAUGCAUCGAGAGCACUCAGGCCUCAUGAGCAGAAUUAUCCCACUCAUGACCUGGAGUUGGCAGCCGUGGUUCAUGCAUUGAAAAUAUGGAGACACUACUUGAUGGGAACCCACUGCAACAUCUUCACUGUUCAUAAGAGCCUUAAGUAUAUCUUUACUCAGGCUGAUCUCAACAUGAGACAGAGAAGAUGGCUAGAGCUGAUCAAGGAUUAUGACCUGGAGGUACAUUAUCACCCAGGAAAAGCCAAUGUGGUAGCAGAUGCCUUGAGUCGGAAAUUGCAAUGCAACUGUGUUAUGAUGGAUUCUCGCAUUAACACCUUGUGUGAUGAGUUCAGCAAAAUGAAGAUUGAAGUGAUUCCUUCUGGUGCUUUGUCUCACAUUUCCGUUGAGCCAGCUUUGCAAGACCAGAUCAUCAUGGCCUAGCUCAGUGACAAGGGAGUGCGAAUUAUUAAGGAGAACCUCCAUCAGAAGACCGAGAAGUAUAAAUGUUUCCGCCAAGAUGGAAAGGGCAUAUUGUGGUUUGAAAGCAGAUUGGUAGUUCCUAAAAAUAAGGAUCUCAAGAAAAUCUUGGAUGAGGCCCAUCUCUCCAAAUUCUCCAUGCAUCCAGGGAGCACCAAAAUGUACCAUGAUCUGAAGCCCUUGUAUUGGUGGACCAGAAUAAAGAGGGAGAUAGCCCAAUAUGUAUCAGAAUGUGACACAUGUCAGAGGGUAAAGGCAAGCCACUUGAAAUCAGCUGGAGCUUUGCAACCCCUAUCUAUACCUUCAUGGAAAUGGGAUGACAUCAGCAUGGAUUUCAUUGUGGGUCUGCCCAACACCUCCCAUCAUCAUGAUUCGAUUUGGGUUAUUGUGGACUGACUGACGAAAGUGGCACAUUUUCUCCCAGUGCACACCACUGACAAGGCUCAAAAGUAUGCAGAGUUGUACAUCGAUCGAAUCGUGUGUUUGCACGGAUUGCCCCGGACCAUUGUAUCUGACCGAGGAGCCCCAUUUGUUGCCAGAUUUUGGGAACAACUGCAAGAGUCUUUGGGAACCAAGCUAAUCAGAAGUUCAGCUUACCACCCACAGACUGAUGGUCAGACCGAGAGGGUAAAUCAAAUUCUUGAAGAUAUGCUAAGAGCUUGUGUGAUCGAUUGUGGCAAGAAAUGGGAUAAGCACCUCUCCUUGGCAGAGUUUGCUUAUAACAACAGUUAUCAAUCCAGCCUAAGGAUGGCACCCUUCGAAGCUCUCUAUGGAAGAAGGUGUAGAACACCCCUCAAUUGGUCUCAGCCUGGAGAAAGAGAAGUUUUUGGACCUGACUUAGUGACUGAUGCCAAAAGGAAGGUCAAACUAAUCAUGAAAAAUCUAGAAGCUGCUCAGGCCAGGCAGAAGUGUUACCAUGAUAAGAGAAGGAAACCUCUCCAGUUUGAAGUGGGAGAUUUCGUAUAUUUGAAGGUAUCACCCACCAAAGGAGUGCAAAGCUUUGGGAUCAAAGGCAAGUUAGCCCCUCGUUACAUUGGACCUUAUGGGAUCAUAGAAGCAUGUGGGCCCGUGGCAUACAAAUUGAAGUUACCUCCAAAAAUGUCUGUCGUCCACAAUGUGUUCCAUAUAUCUCAACUGAAGAAGUGUGUUCGAUUGCCGACUGAGAUCAUAGCAGAACCAGAAUUGGAGAUAGAGCCAGAUCUAUCGUACCAAGAGUACCCUUCCAAGGUUCUGGAUUGCAAAGAAAGAUCAACUCGGGCUAAAUCGAUCAAGAUGUAUAAGGUCCAGUGGAGUAAUCACUCAGAGGAAGAGGCUACUUGGGAGACUGAGGAAUUCCAGCGUUCCAACUUCCCCGAUUGCCUACCUAAGGAAAUUGGUACGUAAUCAUGCCCAACCCCUCCUCCUGCCCUUCGAAUCUAAAUUUCAGAAAAAUGAUCUUAAUAUAAAGAGAGUUAAUUAUAAGACAAGAAAUAAAAGGACUUCCUUCUGAAGUUGCAAAGAGAAUGACAUUCGAAGAGCAAUUGCCCUAAUAAAAUAAAGCUUCCACUUCAAGUAAGUCUCACCCUUCGCUUCACCCCGGGAGGACUCUGACCCAAAUCUCGGGACGAGAUUCCUUUAAGGGGGGAAGGUUGUGACACCCCAGUGUCACCUAGGGUUUCUUCCUUAAGCUAACCCAAACCAUUAUCACAUGUAAACCAAAUGAAGGGAUGAACAUCAAAAAUUAAUAACAAAGGUUUAAAGUGAGUCUUUUUCAUCUUAAGAAACUCUCCUUAAUCAUGUCAUGAACCUCAAGGUAAGAAGAACUCUCAAACCCUAAUUAAUCUUAAGAGGACCAUUUAAGCACAUAAAGGGCAUUUGGGAAAAGACUUGGGAGAAAAAUACAAAUUUUGGUAAAAACCAAAUAACAAAGUUUUAGUUCACUAAUUAACCAAAAAAGUGUAGUAAGAAAGUUUUGCCAUUUGAAUUUUUCAAAAUCCCUAAAUCAGCCCCUGAACUAAUGCAAUUGGGAAAAAUCCAGAAAUCCAGAAAUCUGAAUUUCAGCCCCUUUCCAAAGAUCAACCGCAUUCUCUGUUUUUCAAAACUUGAAUCAAACAAGUCCAAAUAGCAAAGUGGCACCAAAUUCCCUAGAACACACUGUGGCAAAGUUUGGAAACCUCUCUCCACCGUUUGACACGAUCUUGACAUGGAUUUACCUCGGGACUCAACCUUGUGAUACUGCCACCUUAGCGACGUGACAACUCUCUGUACACAGCCCCAAACCGCUCAACUUCCACACAUAAACGACAAAGCUCUGUCGGGAGAGCAAAUUUUGUGCAGUGAUCAUGCCCAAAUACGCGAAGAUCUCCAACCUAUGGGCAUUUGAACUCGGGCAGAAGCAAAGAGCCACGUGCUCGACGCCGUGUAAGGCCGGCCGAGCGCGGACUGGCUGCGGCAACGCGCGCCCCGCGCGUGGUCGCCUUGCCCCGCGCGUUUGCACCUCACCCUCGCCUAUAAGUGCCUCUAGAGGCCUUAGCCGUUGGCACUCGCACACCCAGAGCCCCGCCCGAGCCAGAGAUCAUCGGAGCUCGCCGUGGAAAGCAAGCACCACCGCCCGCCAUCUCCACCCGAGCUCGGCCGUCGUGGCCAGCCCCUUCUGUUGACCCCUGGCCUCGCCCCAGCCCCUGGACCGCUUCCCCGUGAAGCCGUGAAGGUCCUCCAAGCUUGAGUCGAGGCAUUGCCUCACCGGAGAGGCGGAUUCACCCUCGCCGGACUUCGGUCGCCUGCCGCCACGUGUGGGCAGAGAAAUCCGGUGAGCCAUUCUCCAAUUCCUUGCACCAUUGUCCUUCUUGACCUCUAGCGAAGCUCUCUGACCGGUUCACUUGGACAAUCGCGCCGUGAGCAGGCCGGAUUCCUCGCCGCCGACGAGCAUCUCCGCCUGCGCACGUGGACCGGCCGACUCCGACCAUCCCUGAUGGCGACCCGCACUUCGCCGUGACCCUCGGGGCCUCCCCUACAUCCUCGACCACCUCACCGGAGUAGUCUCGCCGCCGGUAAGCCCCUCCGCCCCUUUCUUCCUCCACGGCCACUGUUCCCUUAGGGAAGGACCGCGGGUUCGAUUUUGCAAAACCCUAGGGGGUUUUCUGCAGAGCCGUAGACUCAAGUGAAUAGUGCACCGAGGACCUGUCUGUAAUUCAUUUAAAAUGUUUCGCCAGGGACCCCAGCGCAAAACUGCUUUUCCUUUAACCAAUUCUAAUUAAUCUUUUUAUAUUCAGCAGAGAACUUAGAAAAUUUAUAUCUUGAGUUAUAUUCAACCAAAUUUAGCCAAACCAAUUUUGUUAGAUUUAAAAUAUUAUGGACUAUCAAUUAAAAAUACUAAACUCCAUGCUUUCUGUUUUAAAUUUUAGAGUUUGAAAUUAAUUACAAAAACUUACAAAACCUUAUUAAAAUAAGAAAAAUUAGUUCUGCUUCUGUGCUGAACUUAAGAAAAUUUGUAGAUGUUCAAACCUCAUUUAGACACUGUUUAAAAAUACUAAACACCCCAGUAUUGAAGAUUUGAGCAGAGUUAUCUUUUAAAAGCCAUAUUUGUCCAAAACUUAAGAAAAUCAUAAAUGUAUUAGAAAAUAAUAAACAGUGAAUGUAAUUAUUUUUCCUAGUCUUCUAAGGUAAUAGAGAACCUAGGAAAAAUAAAGGGACCCCUAGUCCAGAGCAGAUUCUAGGUGAAAUGUUUUAUUAAGCAUUAAUAAAAUCAGAAAAACAAUUAUUAGAAUUAUGAAAACAAUUCCAAAAUUGCUAAUAAAAAUCCAGUGGACUUGUAACCACUAGAACCCCACUACAAAAAUGAUAAACACCCCAAUCCAUCAUUUUAAGUAGGGUAAACAAAUAGAACUUGAUAUUGAGCCAUAUUUCAAAUAAAUCAUAAGCAAGCCAAAAAGUGUGCAACAGUGAGCAAAUAAAUUUUUACCAGAUUAGUAAUGAAGUAGACCACCAGGGACAAAAUGCAAAACCCUGUUAAAAGCUACAAGUAAUACCCAUUGCCAAUACUUCAUGAAAAAGGCCAUUUAGUUCAAGAAUUUCCAACCACGUUUCCCUUAAGCAAAAAGUUACCAAACUUCAGAAUGAUUGCUCUUGCACAAAAAAGAAGAUAGGAAAAAUUAUAAAUCUGUUGUUUGAUAUUUUUCAAAUAUAGUGGUAGUAGAAAGCACCCCUUUGGCUAGGAACUUUGGAAAAUCAUAAUAAACUAAAUAAUAAGUAUUAGUGGCUGAACAUUUGUACAAAGUCAUGUUAUAACAGCUAGAUGUCAACAAAAAUAAGUCUUAGAGAAUAACUCACUGUAAAAAGGAGGUUGUAGUUCAAAACACCCCCCUCUGCCCUAAUAUUUGAUAAUUUUAUACAGAGAAGACCACUCACUUUUUAACCCCAAAUUUAGAGACAGAGACUUAUACACCAGUAAAAAGCCACUGUAAUUGUUGCAGAAUUUUUGGAAAUUUAUUGAGCUAGCUUGUAGUUCAAACCCACCUUAAAAGCAUAAAAGAAAUAAGAAGGAAGAGAGGGAAUAAUAAAUCUUACUCUAAUGAUUUAGCUAGAAAUCUUAAUAAACUCUCACAAAGACAUUAAAGGGAAAUCAGUAGAACACCAAAAUAAACUUACCAAUUAGCUUAACCAAGCUUGACCCUAAUUUGCUAAGUGUACCACAAGAAUCUUCAGUAGCAAGAUUAAGCUCUACCUUAUUUAAGUGGAUCAUUCACCAUCAAAGUUUAAUUGCUAAACUGCAUAUCAUAUCAUGCAUGUAUCUUACUCAUUGCAUUCAUUAGAUUGCAAUCUCGCUGACGGAGAGUACGUGCUCAUCCCCGAGCAAAGAGCUGUCCACGAGGAAGACCAGGAGCAAGCUCCUAAGACUGUCAUCGAGGAUCUCCCCGUAGCCCCCACUAUUGAAGGCAAGUCCCAGUUUAUGCAUAACCGUUUAUAUAUGCUACUUUACUACCCUUAAUGAUUGUAGGCUUGUAAUGUGCACUUAAGUGUAGGAGUUGCUUGAAACCUUUAGUUGCAUGAACUCAGGAUUCCUUUUUUGAGAUGGAUACUAAUAUGCUAGGUCGAGUAGCUGCUAUGCUAACUAGUAUCUCGGUAGAAGUCGAGUGAUUUUUCUAGCACUCGCGCGAGGUCAGGAAUUGAUUGUAUUCAUCUUGAUAACGGGAUCUAUGAUGGUCUCUGGACUUGGAUCCAGGGAGGAUGCCUUGUCCAUGAAACGGGAAAAGGAAUUAAGGAUUAAUGUGUGGAUACCUGAGUCAAGCGUUUGAACGUACUAAACAUAUGUCGGGAAAUAUGGUAACCGGUAAACCUAGUACCUAAGUGAAGCCGGGCGUGGACUUUUCCCCUCACUUGUCCAGAGACUAGGUCUCCCAUGCUAGCUAUGGUGGGUACAAGUGCGGUCAAUGCACGGCGGUAGCCGGGGUAAGUGGAGCAUUGUAUGCCAAGGCGGUGAGCCCUGGCCGUGAAUGGGGAAUCGAUGGGGACAGUUGACAUGUGUGGGGACGAAGUGCCCUGACAUGUCGUGUGUUUAGGUUUACCUUGCAAGGAUAAAAACUCGAUUCGAAUCAUCUGCUUCUCGCAGCUAAUGAGACUGCUUGACCCCUUGUACUACAUUGAGUAAGAAGUGAAAUGAGGUUUACAUGAGAUAACUUGUUGUUUGUACUAAAUGCUUGUUAUCAUGUAUGCUUAGAAGGAGCAAACUUAGCUAAGAUAAUGAUACUAGAAAUUGAAAAGCUAAAAGUUGAUUUUAGACUCAGCUAGUGCUUUUGGGAAACCAAACCCCUCAACCAAACAGCUGCAUGGUCUAGAGGUCGAGGAGUAGUUUCCUCACACUGGGUAAGUCUAGCUGAGUAUUAGUAUACUUAGUCUUGCUUGUGGCAUAAUUUUGCAGGUAUGCUUCAGGAUAUGGUUGAUGGUGUUACUUGGCCUACCACCCUGCCAUCGGGUUGGACGGUCUAGUGGGAUGCUGCUCCGGCAGGAGAGGAGCCAGAGGAGUAGUAGGCUAGGCCUUGCCCAAUUCCUCGCUAUCGACGAUAUCGAUUAUCCACUGCAUCUUAUUUUAUGAACUUAUAUCCACUACUUGAAAAACUC